ensembl:lncRNA
CUAUUCGGCGGUCGCCGCGGUUCUAACCUCCUUGCUCUCCCUCGUAAAUGACAAGGCACCUCUAACCUACGGCUUUGUGUCUUGUUUUUUUUCCCCUGUGUGAAUUUCAAAGCAAAAGCGAGCGGUGAAUACCUUUCAGUGGCCGGUACGCGUCGGGGUCGCCCUCUUCGCACUUAAAGACGCUGGUCCAUGCGAGGGCCAAUGCAGAUUUCGGUGGCCGAGGGGUGGAACUCGGAGCAGGCAGGGCAGAACCUUCGACCCUGAGGGACCUCCGGGCUAGCUUUGGAGUAGGCGAGACAGACAGAAACGGAGCGAGGGAGGGAGAGAGAGGGAGAGAGAACAGGAGCAAGCCUCGAUCUGGGAGAGGGGGAGUCUCGACCGCAGUGUAGUGAGAAGGGACUGCCACUGGGGUCAGAGAGCACGUUCUAGAGCACAGCCCCGCUUAGGCAUGGCGGCGUGUAUAGGGUUUGAAUAUGUAGCCUACCCCACUGUACACUGUCUGUAUGCAGGGAGGAACAGCCAUGAUAGACGCGGCGGCGCUUCCAUGUGGUGAAUUUCCAUGCUGCCGUUGUAUUUCGCGCUCUUAGAAUGUCCUUAUUAAGCUACCGAUUGAGUAUUGGGCACAAUUGUGGUGGGCUAGAUCAAAGUGCUAACUGGAUAGUGGUCUUGGACACUGAAAAGUUAAAUGGAGGGUGGAUGCUCGCCGUGCUCUUAUUGACCGGCCUUGGCUUGAUCAGCUCUGAGAGGCGUGACCGAGAGACGCAGUCAAAGCCAAUUACUGAGAAACGGAGGGAACAAUGGUGUCUGAACCAGCAGAAUGGCUUCACUGCCCCAGCUGUUAGUCAUACUUUACUUUUAAGCACAAGAUGAGUUGCAGCACCUGACUAUGACUCUUUGGUCAGUCCAGCAGAGGGUUGGGAUCAUAUGCUUCACGUCUAACAUGUUACUGGUACCUUAGAAUGGGGUAUGAAAUGGUAUAUGUUUCUUGCAUGUUAGAAGAAAUGGCCCUUGUGUGUUGGCACUGGAAAUGUUAUCAUAUGAAUUUUAUAUUUGUACGUAUGUCAUAAAUAUGUCUCAUGUUGCUCUGUGUGUGUGUGUGUGUGUGUGUGUGUGUGUGUGCGUGCGUGCGUG